GAUGAACGCUAGCUACAGGCUUAACACAUGCAAGUCGAGGGGCAGCAUGAACUUAGCUUGCUAAGUUCGAUGGCGACCGGCGCACGGGUGAGUAACACGUAUCCAACCUGCCUUCAACUCAGGGAUAGCCUUUCGAAAGAAAGAUUAAUACCCGAUGUUAUAGUCCUACCGCAUGAUGGGAUUAUUAAAGAAUUUCGGUAUGGGAUGGGGAUGCGUUCCAUUAGUUAGUUGGCGGGGUAACGGCCCACCAAGACAACGAUGGAUAGGGGUUCUGAGAGGAAGGUCCCCCACAUUGGAACUGAGACACGGUCCAA
rnacentral:rRNA from 1 species